GAUGAACGCUAGCGACAGGCUUAACACAUGCAAGUCGAGGGGCAUCACGGGAGUAGCAAUACAACUGGUGGCGACCGGCGCACGGGUGAGUAACGCGUAUGCAACCUACCUAUCAGAGGGGAAUAACCCGGCGAAAGUCGGACUAAUACCGCAUAAAACAGGGGCACCGCAUGGUGAUAUUUGUUAAAGAAAUUCGCUGAUAGAUGGGCAUGCGUUCCAUUAGGUAGUUGGUGAGGUAACGGCUCACCAAGCCGACGAUGGAUAGGGGAACUGAGAGGUUGGUCCCCCACAAGGGUACGGAGACACGGACCAGACUCCUACGGGAGGCAGCAGUGAGGAAUAUUGGUAAAUGGGCGGGAGCCGGAACCAGCCAAGUCACGUGAAGGAAGAAGGAUCUAUGGUUCGUAAACUUCUUUUGCAGGGGAAUAAAGUGCAGGACGUGUCCUGUUUUGUAUGUACCCUGUGAAUAAGGAUCGGCUAACUCCGUGCCAGCAGCCGCCGUAAGAC
rnacentral:rRNA from 1 species